AGGGUACAUAACGUAACUGUCUCCCGGGGCUGUACCAUCCCGGGUCUGCAAUCCUAGUCAAACAGACCGUGUCUAGUCUACGGAAGAGAAAGGGAGUAUGGAUUAGGCGAAGGGCCAUCUUCAGGCUCAGCGCAAGGCAUUAAAGAAGCCUUGCUUGGUCCAGGACUCUGUAGUUUUUAAACACUGCCUAGGUCAUUCUGAUUCUCAGCCAAUUGCCAGUUACUUUUCCGAGGCCAGAUGCUACCUUUCCAAAGAUGAAGGUCCUCUUCUUAAAGAUCCACAACCUAGUUGGGAAGAUUCGUGUGACCUUGAACCCUGACUUGGUUUCCUAUGUGAGCCUAUCCUUUUUCAUAGGAUGAUUCAUCCUUCGGGGCAGAGCUUCUACAUUUUUGCCCUUUCUUCCCUCUGAUGGGAAGGAUUGAAUUCACAGUGAAGAGUCAGUAAAGACACACUGUCAUGGCUCUGUCUGUGACACAUCAUCAGGUACUCUUGUUUUGCCCUUUGGGUCUUCUAGGCGAGCUAACAUUUGGAAAGACAAGUGGGUCUGAGUUUCUUCCUGGAUUCCUGAAGACUAGGGCUUUGAGAGAGCUCAGGAAUCUCUUUGGACUUCCUGCAUCUGUGAUGUUGGGUCUGGCGAGGAAAAGAUUGAUUCUAUGAACGUGUUGGGAUCAUUCUGUCAUAAAGGAAAAAGCCGUGCAGCCUGUAACGCCAAGUUAACCCUAGGAGACUGCUAGUGUGCCUUCUACGUUUCGAUUUAUGCAGUUGCACAGGAUAGCUGCAAGGAGUGAAGAGAUUUCGAGACAAAGUGGCAGCUCACUGCCUGCCUGUCCUAUGUCCCUGCACAGACACAGGCAGCACCUGCCUUUAUUUUUGGAGGCCUGUUCCUGCCACCGGUGAGCUCGGCCCUCCCGCCAGCCUCCGCCGCUGCUGCCCUAGCCAUGAAUCAUCAGAGGUGCUGAGGCUCCUCCAGCUUCGCGUUCCUGGCAGAGGUGUUGUUUCUUCCUAAAAGUGAAGGGGAGAGUUGCUAAGGAACACCAUUAACAUGCUGACGGCACAACAGUCUCGUGGAGUUUGGGCUGCAGCCUUGACUCUAAUCAGAAAAUCAUUUUUAGAAAGAUUUGUCAGUGUAAGAAAACAAGCUCCCGGACUAAAUUAGGAUCUGGAUUAUUUUCCCCUCCUCUCCCAGUCUGCAGUGGACAGCAGAUUGGGAGUCAUCACGGUGGUUUUGUGGUGCAUUUAUUUCCGCCGCACAUUCCAUUUCAAAGCUCCCCCGAAGCUGUCUGUGUUCGUGAGGACUGAGGCUUUGUUUGGAGCAGUACCCUGUGAGGUUGGGCGCUUGUUUCUCCUUCCCUCAAAGUUGUUGGCUGUCUUGGCAAAGCAGCCCAGGUUUGGGGACUCUUUAAUCUGAUUUUCUUUUGCCUUUCUCUUUCUCCCUCCCAGUAAUGAAUUCACUGCAUGUCUCUGGAAAAUUAAGGUCAUCCAUUAUACUGUUGUCUCCCUAUCUUUGCAACAGGGAUAACAGUAUUUAACCCACCUUUGCAGUACACUGAGUGGCCUGUCAGGGUCUCUUCUUUCAAAGGACAACUUGAAAACAUUUUAAUAAAUGCUCCUUAACUGGAUGCUUUAAAAAUACAUGGGGUCAGAUGGCAAACUCCUCAGUUAUAACUAAUUUAGCAAACAAGACUCACUAUUUAUCCUCUCCCUGCUGCUUCUGUUUUUACCGCCCUCCUUUUGUAUCGUUCUGUUUGUUCAGGGACAUGUUAUCUCCACUGGGUUCGAGUCUGUCGGAAACCUAGGACUGGGGUCUUUACAGACCAGUCCUUACUGCCCCUGUUAACCCCAUCAUCUCUUAAACUGGCAGCAGGGAGCUUCAUGUCCCGCAGUGUUGCCAACAGACAGUGCUGGGGGACAGGGAAGUGGGUGCUUAGUGAGGCGGCAUCACUCAGAUGAGCAUGCGGGGCUGGACUCAGGUCGUACGGCAGAGGCCUGUGCUGUCAUUGCCAGCACGAGUAGGGGCCCACUCACUUAUGGAGCUCCAGCUAUGCAUGCCAGGCCGAUUUACUCAUGGCUCCUAAUCUCAUGAACCAGGCACAGGCCUGUGUCGUUUGAGUAAGGGUACCUUCUGAUUUUAUCUUCUUGCUUCUCUUCUACAUAGGUAAAAGGGCCAGAGAGACCCUGUGGCAUGGGGUAGAUGCUCACUGGAAUGCAGUGUGAGCCUGUUCUAGGGGUCAGAUGACAAAGUCCAGGCUAUGUCCCUGUGUUUGUGCUCAGAGAGAGCACUGAGAGUCCAGUCUUCACCCGCUCAGGCCCUGGUCAUUUCUUUGGGCUUAGGGAUGUCUUUGGAGAAAUACUAUGGUCAGCUGAGAGCAAUAUUCUCCCCAGGCCAUGGGCUUUAUACUUUUGUGAUUGGAGGGGACUGUGUUGGUAAACACCCCUCCAACCACCUGGACAGGAAGAGUUCCUGAAGAGAAAGAUCUUAUGCUGAAGAGGAGCCCACGACCUCACUGCAAUUCCAGGAAAAUCGGAAUGUUCUUAUUUCUCCACCUCAUGAAAGGAGAGGAGAAAAAUGAAUGCAGAUGAGUUCACCAUGCAAAAGUAUGUGAUGCAGGAAUUGCUGAUUCUGCCUCAAAACAGUCACGCGUGCCGGACCAACCAACAGGUCAAGACUGACCUCCCAGGAAAUAUGAGACUUGAUGUUUUCCUCUUCUAACUCCCGGGAUUCAUCCCUCAGGAUUCCCCAGAGAAUAUGCAAACAACUGAGCUCUGACCGAGCCAGCAGGUUGUUGAAUGAGGGCUUCUCUCCUCCCCACAGUCAGAUUAGAGAUGUGGGCUUUAGUGGAGUGUAUAUUAAGCCACAGAGCCUUCCCCACCCAAAUAAUACCGGAUGUGGAAUCCCAAAAUAUAAAGCACAUACCAGUGGGGGUCAGCUCACCGAAUUGGGAGUGGGGGUGUAGGAUGAGAAUUUGCCACUGGAUAUGUCAUCUCCUUGUCUGCCAAGCCCCUAGGUGGACCCCUCUCCUGAGCAGCUCCCC